ACCUCAGAGGCGCAGUUUGCCAUGUGGGUGGACGCAGUUAUAUUUAUCUUCAGCUUGGAGGAUGAAAUACGUUUCCAGAUGUUUACUGCAGUCAAAUGGCCAACUAUCGGAACAUGAGCGAGACUCCUCUGGUUCUGGUGGAAACCCAGGAUGCCAUAAGUUUCACUAACCCGAGGGUCAUUGAUGAUGCCAGGGCAAGGAAGCGCUCCAACGGCCUGAAGCGGUGCACGUACUACGAGACGUGUGCUAUGUACGGGCUGAACGUGGAGAGGGACUUUCAGGAGGUUGCCCAGAAGAUUGUUGCCACAGGGAAGAAGCAGCAGUUGUCCAUAGGACCCUGCAAGUCACUGCCCAAUUCUCCAAGCCAUUCCGCCAUCUGUUCUGCACAGGUGUCCCCCAUGCACAUCAGCUAGAUAAAUAAUGGAGGUAGGAAUUUAAGUGACUAUUCCUCCUCCAUUCCAUAGACUCCCAGCACCAGCCAGAAGGAACUUCAGAUGGAUGUUCCUCCCACUGCCAACACGCCCAUGCCCGUAAGCAGUCCAAGUGGGUGUCCAACCGGUUCACCUCUCAGAAAGGGAGCGACCCAAAGAGAAGAAAGGCCUGGAGAGUCGUGCGUACAGCAUCAGGAGCAGCUGAGCCAUGCCAAUUAUACAGGGCAUGCUGUUGAAGCAAAGUGGCAAAUCGUUGAAUAAAGAAUGGAAAAAGAAAUAUGUCACCCUGUGUGACAACGGUGUGCGAACCUAUUAUCCAAGUUUACAUGAUUACAUGCAGAAUGUUCACGGUAAGGAGACUGACCUUCUGAGAACUACUAUGAAAGUCCCAGGGAAGAGGCUACCCUAAGCCACAUCAGCCUGCAUGCCCAUCUCCAGGUCUAAAACCAAUGGCCUAUCCAAGUACAUGAGGAGUUUACACAUCUCAUUCAAUUCAGGGAAUGUCACUAGUGCAUCUGGGUCUCAGAUGGCAAGCAGCAUCAGCCUGGUCUCCUUCAACAGCCAACCAGAUGGCAUGCACCAGCGCUCCUACUCAGUCUCCAGAGCCAACCAGUGGAGUGAGGCUAUAGUCAUUACAAACUUGGCCAUCAGCAGUGACAUGGUGCUGGGUGACUCCGUAUGCUCCAACCCCAGUAACUCCAGCACCACCAGCCCACCUCCCCUCACACCAACAGAAAGAAGCACUGUAGGCAGAAAACCACCAGCAACUUCAAAGCUGAUGGCCUGUCCGACACUACCAAAGAACAAGAAAACUUUGAGUUUAUCAUUGUGUCCCUCACAGGCCAAACGUGGCACUUUGAAACCACGACGAAUGAGGAGUGGUACACCUGGGUCCAAGCCAUCAAGUGCCAGAUCCUGGUCAGCCUGGCAAGCCUGCAGUCGUGCAAGAGCAGCAAGAACAAGUCCCAGCUGAUGAACCAGAGCGAGGCCAUGGCCCUGCAGUCAAUCCGACACAUGCACGGGAACUCCUACUGUGUGGACUGUGAGACCCAGAAUCCUAACUGGGCCAGUUUGAACUUGGGAGCGCUCAUGUGCAUCAAGUGCUUAGUGAGCCACUGGAAUCUUGGCACCCACCUUUCCUGAGUCUGAUCUCUGGACCUGGAUGACUGGCCAGUUGAGCUUAUCAAGAUGAUGUCAUUCAUUGGGAAUGAGAUACUCAACAACGUCUGGGAAGAGAGCAGCCAGGGGUGGACGAAACCCUCAGUAGACUCCACAAGGGAAAAGAAGGAACAGUGGAUCCAUGCCAAGUACGAGCAGAAGCUCUUCCUGGCCCCGCUACCCUGCACGGAGCUGUCCCUGGGCCAGCACCUGCUGUGGGCCACCACAGACGAGGACCUGUGGACAGCCAUCCUGCUGCUGGUGCAUAGCUCCUGGGACGAGGUGAAAGAAACCUUCGGGGAGGGAGACAGAGACAGCCGCACUGUACUGCAUCUGACCUGCUGCAAGGGAAAUGUGGUCCUGGCGCAGUUCCUGAUCUGGUACAGGGUGGACAUCAUGGCCCGAGAUGCCCAUGGGAACACAGCGCUGGCCUACACCUGGCAGGCCUCCAGGCAGGAAUGCCUCAAUGUGCUGCUGGAGUAUGGCUGCCCCGACGAGCGCUGAGUGCUCAUGGCCACCCCUAACCUGUUCAGGAGAAACAAUAACCGGAACAACAGCAGCGGGAGGGUAGCCACCAUCAUCUGAGGAACAGCCGUGCCUGCCUGCCCGCCACACCUGGGAUGCGGCGGCCUUGCAGCAUACUCACUUGGAAGUCGCAACACGUGAGUCCCGUCGCAUCCCCUCACUCUUCCUGGUGGUUCCUCUUCCCACCCACCCACCCUCACCCCAAACAAAAUCACAAAACCUGGACAUCCCCAAGGGGUGAAGAGGCGGCUGGGAGACUGCAGAAGCAGCUCCUUUGCAUAAACUCCCCUAAACCACAAGCAGGAGAGAGCAACAGGCCUUGGCUCUUUGAUGAUAGUACACGGCACAGGACCCUUGUCCUGGUGGCACAAGGGAUGUGGAUCUGAGGGGGAGGGGAGGUGAGGAACAAGGAGAAGGGGCAACUUUCCUUAACUGGCAGUUAAGCACAUCAGUACAUUUCACCUCUACCAAAUGGAACACUUGGAUUCCAUCUCUUCUCUGAGGAGCCUGAUGGCAUAAAUCAGAAGCAAGUACAGAGUUUGUCAGGUUUGAAGCCCUUAUCAUGGUAUGUGUCAAAUCAGUUGUAGGUCAUCUGUCCAGGGAGAAUACUGGCUUCAUUACACUUGUGUAGUUGAGUUCUUCCAGCAUUACUGCUGUUUAAUAGAAGAUGAUUGGUCAUCACCAAGAAGAAAGCAUAUUAGCCAAGGAGGUAGUUAUGCAGCAUGCUCUGGUGCUUACCACGUUGUGAUCGCAAUACUCUCAGAAGCAUCAUAUUAUCCCAGACAUGUUCUUUCAAGCCCCUGGAGUCCUCCUUUCUAAAUUCACUGUCAUACUUUAGUAUCUGUUGAAUUUUUCAGUUCAAAGAAGGAAAUCAGUUGCCGAGUAACUUUCUUUUGACUGUGGUCUCCUUGGUACAAAAACAAAAUGGGAAAAAUAAGAAUAACUCAGAAAUUCAAAAGGAAAUCACAAAUUCAGCUAAUAAUAGCAUUUUAAGUAUAUUUUGUAAACUAAAUAAACACACAAAAGGCUAUUUUUUUCCAACCAUAAGAGAUAUUUUCUGUCCUUUUGCCGAGGUGGAUGUGUUAGUCUCAGGCCUUCCUGGGCCACAUUGCCCAACCCACAUGGGCUUCUGUAUUAUGUAUUUAGUCAAGAUGUGUGAAAAUAUAUUUGAAUAAAAGAAGUUCAUAAAUAUGUAUUGAUUUGUUUUACAGACAAAUGGCACCUCUCUUAAUUUAUAAAUUGAACUGGAUGUGAACUAAUAAUGUGCAACUAGUUAAACUAGUUAAGAGGGUUACAGCUCAUUGUACAUGGAAAAUAUUCCCAGCAGUAAACACUUCCAUUAAUGUGAUCUACAGCUUUUAAAAAGGAGCAUCUCAGAAUAAGACGGUGGUACAAUUUGCUUAUUAAAAUUGAGA